rnacentral:rRNA from 1 species
AGAGUUUGAUCCUGGCUCAGGAUGAACGCUGGCGGCGUGCCUAAUACAUGCAAGUCGAGCGAACGGACGAGAAGCUUGCUUCUCUGAUGUUAGCGGCGGACGGGUGAGUAACACGUGGAUAACCUACCUAUAAGACUGGGAUAACUUCGGGAAACCGGAGCUAAUACCGGAUAAUAUUUUGAACCGCAUGGUUCAAAAGUGAAAGACGGUCUUGCUGCCACUUAUAGAUGGAUCCGCGCUGCAUUAGCUAGUUGGUAAGGUAACGGCUUACCAAGGCAACGAUGCAUAGCCGACCUGAGAGGGUGAUCGGCCACACUGGAACUGAGACACGGUCCAGACUCCUACGGGAGGCAGCAGUAGGGAAUCUUCCGCAAUGGGCGAAAGCCUGACGGAGCAACGCCGCGUGAGUGAUGAAGGUCUUCGGAUCGUAAAACUCUGUUAUUAGGGAAGAACAUAUGUGUAAGUAACUGUGCACAUCUUGACGGUACCUAAUCAGAAAGCCACGGCUAACUACGUGCCAGCAGCCGCGGUAAUACGUAGGUGGCAAGCGUUAUCCGGAAUUAUUGGGCGUAAAGCGCGCGUAGGCGGUUUUUUAAGUCUGAUGUGAAAGCCCACGGCUCAACCGUGGAGGGUCAUUGGAAACUGGAAAACUUGAGUGCAGAAGAGGAAAGUGGAAUUCCAUGUGUAGCGGUGAAAUGCGCAGAGAUAUGGAGGAACACCAGUGGCGAAGGCGACUUUCUGGUCUGUAACUGACGCUGAUGUGCGAAAGCGUGGGGAUCAAACAGGAUUAGAUACCCUGGUAGUCCACGCCGUAAACGAUGAGUGCUAAGUGUUAGGGGGUUUCCGCCCCUUAGUGCUGCAGCUAACGCAUUAAGCACUCCGCCUGGGGAGUACGACCGCAAGGUUGAAACUCAAAGGAAUUGACGGGGACCCGCACAAGCGGUGGAGCAUGUGGUUUAAUUCGAAGCAACGCGAAGAACCUUACCAAAUCUUGACAUCCUUUGACAACUCUAGAGAUAGAGCCUUCCCCUUCGGGGGACAAAGUGACAGGUGGUGCAUGGUUGUCGUCAGCUCGUGUCGUGAGAUGUUGGGUUAAGUCCCGCAACGAGCGCAACCCUUAAGCUUAGUUGCCAUCAUUAAGUUGGGCACUCUAAGUUGACUGCCGGUGACAAACCGGAGGAAGGUGGGGAUGACGUCAAAUCAUCAUGCCCCUUAUGAUUUGGGCUACACACGUGCUACAAUGGACAAUACAAAGGGCAGCGAAACCGCGAGGUCAAGCAAAUCCCAUAAAGUUGUUCUCAGUUCGGAUUGUAGUCUGCAACUCGACUACAUGAAGCUGGAAUCGCUAGUAAUCGUAGAUCAGCAUGCUACGGUGAAUACGUUCCCGGGUCUUGUACACACCGCCCGUCACACCACGAGAGUUUGUAACACCCGAAGCCGGUGGAGUAACCUUUUAGGAGCUAGCCGUCGAAGGUGGGACAAAUGAUUGGGGUGAAGUCGUAACAAGGUAGCCGUAUCGGAAGGUGCGGCUGGAUCACCU